rnacentral:rRNA from 1 species
AACGAACGCUGGCGGCAUGCCCAACACAUGCAAGUCGAACGAGACCUUCGGGUCUAGUGGCGCACGGGUGCGUAACGCGUGGGAACCUGCCCUUAGGUUCGGAAUAACUCCCCGAAAGGGGUGCUAAUACCGGAUAAUGUCUUCGGACCAAAGAUUUAUCGCCUUUGGAUGGGCCCGCGUUGGAUUAGCUAGUUGGUAGGGUAAAAGCCUACCAAGGCGACGAUCCAUAGCUGGUCUGAGAGGAUGAUCAGCCACACUGGGACUGAGACACGGCCCAGACUCCUACGGGAGGCAGCAGUGGGGAAUAUUGGACAAUGGGCGAAAGCCUGAUCCAGCAAUGCCGCGUGAGUGAUGAAGGCCUUAGGGUUGUAAAGCCCUUUUACCCGGGAUGAUAAUGACAGUACCGGGAGAAUAAGCUCCGGCUAACUCCGUG